AGUUGAAAUAUGUCUCAGCUUGCUAUAGGCAAUAAUGGAUUAAAAUCUAGCAACAUUCCACCUAUACAGGAAGCCUAGUGUGACUAGAUAAGUAUGUUGGCUAAGUCUUUCAGUACUGUUUUCUGAAGAAGUGCCAAACCUGGAUUGGGAAACUUGCAUGUAGUGAUGUGUUCUAGAGGUCCUUGUAUUUAUGGUGGGGUUAGGUGGGGUAGAACACCAGAAAUUGGUUUCAAAGGAUAUUGAAGUGGCCUUUUGAAUUUCAGAUUUCAUAUGAAUUGAGUUUCCUUUUUUGGCCAUAUCCCUGGUGUGGGGGUUGGGUAUGUUGGAUAGAUGUUACUGUGGGUUUGCCAGCAUGUGCAAUCUCAUGGAUGCUGGAAGAGCUCUAAAUGUUUUUGUUUCUACCGAAGAGUGCAUGGAAAAUCUAAGUCCUAGUCCUUAAUCUUCCAGCCCCUGGUGUGAACUUGUAUUUUUGCCAUUUGGGUAUAAGAGCUUUUACCAACAGAGCUCAUCCAGGGAGGCAGCAGGGCUUGGGCUUUCAGGCUGGAGGUGGCAGUAACACGCACAGCUGAGAUCCUGCCACUGCUGGCUGUCUGAGCCCUCCUCUCUGUGGUUUUCACUCUUCAAGCUAUGCUUGAGUAACCCGCCUCCAGAGCUGCUGACAGGGCUGUGUUCAGAGGCCUUGGAAAUUACACUGUUCAUUUCCUUAUCAUCCCCUGACCUGCAGUGCAGAGCCUUCUGGUGCAGGAACAAGGCAGAAAAAAAUCCAGACGGCUCCCAGCCAGCAUGUGUCAAGGGCUACAAAGAAGGAAAUUGGACUUGCUCACUUAAAAACCAUGGGGUUAGGCUUUGAUUUUUGGUUCCUGCCGAGAGUUAUUUGUGUGUAUGCGCAUGUUCUAUCUCUGUGUAUUUUUAUGGAAUGAGUCUGUGCAUGGCAGAGCUGUAGAGGAGGAUGAAAGCAGAGAGCAGAGGGAAGAUUGAUUUUCUCUUCAAUUAAUUUCUCAGUUGUGCCACCAGGAUGGGCCUGGAAGGAUUAACAUCAGGAAGGUGCCAGGCCAUAUUAAUAUUAAUAUUUUAAAAUAUAUUUCUCUAGCUACAGCUCCGAUUAGACCCCUAGCCUGGGAACCUCCAUAUGCUGCGGGAACAGCCCAGAAAUGACAAAAAACAAAACAAAACAAAACAAACUCCCUCUGCCGUUGUGGAAAGGACUUUGGUUUUACUAUACAUCCUUUGGAAAUCCUUGUUACUCAUUUAGCCAGGGAAGCUUUAAAAGCUGUCCUUGUUUUUUGCCGUUUCCAGAUAGAGCAAUGCACUGCACUUUAGAGAUCGUAGGAUCCUCAGGUGUCUUAUAGCAUGCUCAAGAGUCUCCUCCAACUCUCCUUUUUCAUUGCUCAGUCAUUGCAUUGUGUUAGGGAUCAGUCAUUUAGGAAUAUAGCUAUAAUGAAUCUGACUUCUCAUUAUCUGCUUAAUUAGGAGAACUAAUUAAUAAAAUUUUGAUAGUUAUAGCUGUUAAAGUAGAACAUCCAUAUCAGUGUUACUGAUUCAUUUUUAAAUUAUUGCCCCAGAUUUUUUAAGGCAAAUGUGAGCAGAAUUCCUAUAACAUGAUAUAUUUUGCCAAAUAUAGGCAACUGGUGAUAUUUUUUAUACUUAAAUUGGAAGAGAGGAAUUGUGGCUCAGCGGUAAUGAACCCAACUAAUAUCCAUGAGGAUUCGGAUUUGAUCCCUGGCCUUGAUCAAAGGGUUAAGGAUCUGGUGUUGCUGCGAGCUGUGACGUAGGUCACAGACGUGGCUUGGGUCUGGUGUUGGGUGUGGCCUAGGCCAGCAGCUGCAGCUCCAAUUCGACCUCUAGCCUGGAAACUUCCAUGUGCCAUGGGUGUGGCCC
rnacentral:lncRNA from 1 species